CAUAAUCUAAAAUUAAAUUAUGAACUUUUCAAAUAGGAAUCAACCAUAACAGUGGCUGCACUCGUAUCCAUUAUCCAACGGACAGCUCUUUAGUCUGUUCAAUAUUUCCGUAUUAUAGUUUUCGUUCGAGCGAUAUUGUCGUUCAUCGGCGUACUUUCCGUACUUCUAACAAACGGUGUCGAACGCGACUACAUUGUCGUGUGUACCUAAUGUGUGUGUGUACGUGUGUGUGUGUGUGUGUGUGCACGCGUGUGCACGUGUAUUAUAUCCUAUAGAUUCUCCCG